CGUGGGUAACCUGCCCAAGAGAUCGGGAUAACACCUGGAAACAGAUGCUAAUACCGGAUAACAACAGAUGAUGCCUAUCAACUGUUUAAAAGAUGGUUCUGCUAUCACUCUUGGAUGGACCUGCGGUGCAUUAGCUAGUUGGUAGGGUACCGGCCUACCAAGGCGAUGAUGCAUAGCCGAGUUGAGGGACUGAUCGGCCACAUUGGGACUGAGACACGGCCCAAACUCCUACGGGAGGCAGCAGUC
rnacentral:rRNA from 1 species